rnacentral:sRNA from 1 species
GCUGGGCGUGGUGGUGCACGCCUGUAAUCCCAGCAGCUUGUGGGGGCUGAGGCAGGAGGCUCCUGAGUUCAAAGCCAGCCUCAGAAAAGUGAGGCUCUAAGCAACUCAGUGAGUUCCUGUCUCUA